GCUUAAGCAUCAAGGAAUUGUACUGUAUUUAACUCCUUUUCACAUUCAUUUUCUUUCCUACCGUCUUUUCCUUUCUUAUUCCCCUUUUUCUUUUGCAUCAUAUUGGGACACUCAGGGAAACUUAGCCAAUUAACCAAAUCCGUGAAUAGCUUUCUUUUUUUCUUUUUUUUCACUUGUUGAAAAUAAAAUGAAAUUUCUCCUAUCUCAGGUUUUAAUGUAGUUUGCUCUUGAUGAUUGCGGGUUUUAGGUUUACAUUGGGGUUUUUAACACUCACAUUUCAAAUCGUCUGAAUAUUUUGCACCGCGUAGAAUUGUUCCAAAUUGCUGGCCUAUUGAGUUUCAUAAGAUACUAAUCUGUUCAGGUGAUCGUUAAAGAAUGUGUUCAGAUGGUGAAGGAUAGGCAUCAUUGGUUUACCCAGUAAGGGAUUCUCUGUUACUCAAAAUAAUUAUGGGAUCAUUUAAAGGAAAUUAAGUCUGACAUCACUGACUAUUUGUGGUAUAUUUACAUAAAUUUUGUCAAAAUCUAGUAAGGAAAUGUUAAGAUAUGAAACCAUUAAAGAAAACAGGUUGAGCCAUUAAGGUGUAAUAUCAGCAGAACAGAGCUUAGAGGUCUGUUUCUCCUUCCAUUUUUGUUUUAUCAGGUAACUAUAUCAGUAUAAUUCCUAUGAAGGUGCUCUAGUACUUAAUUAAAAAUUGUCUGUGCCACAGGUAUAAUUUUAAUAUUAGGUAGAACUCGAGUCUGGGUUGGCUAUUUAUCAGAGUUUGAAUUCCAGCUCUGCUACUUGCAAUAUGACCUUGACUCUUGGCAAGUCACUUAGCCUCUCUGUCCAAUCUAUAAAACGAGCGGCGUGGGCCAGCCAGUUGCUGAGGUCUGUUAGGCCCUUUGGGUUACAUAAAAGGAGUAAAGUGCUGUCCGUGUUCACAGAGGGCAUGUACAGUCUAGUAGAAAGACUAUCAUAAAUGCAUAAAUAACAGUAGUACUAGGUAGAUGACGUAGGAAUCAAAAGAUACCAUCCCAUUCAUGUGCUUGAGAAUAUUCAGUCGGUCAGAAGGCAUGAAAGGAAAAACAAAUAUCAAAGAGAUUGUAAGGCAGUGUGUACUAAGGAUCCAAUGAGAGGGGAGCAUUUCUUGCAGGUUAAAAGUGUUCUGAGGAAGGAGAGAGGUGAUUAGGUGGGCAGAUGCUUCCUUCAUCUCCAUCUCUAGCUGUGUUUCCUUUUUCACAAAAAAGAAUGUAUCUGUCUUUACCCAUAGUGCUCUCUCCAGGAAAUCAAGGCAUUGUAUUCAUUGAGUAACCAUUUUUUGAGCAUUUUCGAUAUUUCAACUGUGGGACUGGGCACUAAGCCAGGGAAGAAUGUAAGUAGUUAAAUUUAUUGAUUGCUUACUAUGUGCCUGGCACACUUUUCCUAAGAUUUUACAUGGACUCAUCUGAUCCUUGAAAAACCCUGUGAGGUAGGUAGUAUUGUUAUCUCCGUUUUACAGAUGGAGAAUUUGAUGUAUAAAGAGGUUAAGUAACUUGGAGGAGACCAUAUCACUGGUAAUUGGAGUAACUUUUUAGGCUUCGAACUUGCAAAAUUUGAAAAUUUCUUUUGGUAGGCGGGACCCACAGAUGCAUGCAAUACUUCUAGAUCAGUUUUUUCAUCUGGGCACUUGACAUUUUGGACCAGAUAAUUUAUUAUUUUGAGGGUUGUUCUGUGCAUCACAGGAUGUUCAGCAUCCGCAGUAGCACUCCCCGUCCAGUUGUGACAAUCACCAAUGCUUCCAGAUAUUGCUAGAUGUCCCUGGGAGUGGCGCAGAAUCGACCCUGGCUGAGAACCACUGCUCUAGAUCUUCAUUAGGAAUUGUAACGUGAAAGCCUCCAAACUUUUAGAUGUUGAGUUAAUUUAAACAUCUUUUGGUCGAGUGCUGUGGCUCACACCUAUAAUCCCAGCACUUUGGGAGGCCAAGGCAGGUGGAUUGCUUGAGGUCAGGAGUUCGAGACCAGCCUGGCCAACAUAGUGAAACCUCAUUUUUACUAAAAAUACAAAAAUUAGUUGGGCGUGGUGGCAUGCGCCUGUAUUCCCAGCUACCCGGGAGGCUGAGUCAGGAGAAUUACUUGAACCCUGGGAGCGGAGAGCCGAGAUUGUGCCACUGCACUCCAGCCUACUUGACAGAGUGAAACUCUGUCUGAAAAAAGAAAAAAAAAUCUUUUAAUAACAUGGAAGCCUAGACCCUAUUAUGUAGAUCCUCAAUUUGGAAGCCCUGGUUUCUGAAUGUCAAAGAUGUGUUGCCAUUCUCCUUUUCCUCUGCUAAGCUGCAAAUCCUCAAGACAGUGUGCCUGGUAGCCAGUGCCAGUUAAACAACAUUGGCACAAAUAAUAAAUUUAGUUUACUAUCAUAGGUAAACUGUCUUUUAAAAUUCACAGUUGGCCAUUAAAAUUGUCACAUUAUGUUAGUAUCAUGGGAGCCAUAAUAUCUACAUGAGGGCGAUUACCAUUAGAACUGAACUUUGAAGAAUGGAAUCAGUUUUGAAAGGCAGAUAAAAGGGCAUUGUAAGAACAACAACAGAAGUAAGGACACAAAAAUCCAGAAAGUACAGGAGAUUUUGAUAUUGCAGUGGGUAGUUCAGGUUAUAUAAGGUAUUUGUAGCAAACUGGUUAAGGCCAGAUAUAGAGGUUCUUGAAUGUCAGGUUGAGGAACUUGUGCAUAAAUUUUUAGGUAUGGGAGCUAUUGCAUGCUUUUUGUUGCGUACUGAUGUGAUAGAAUAAUCUUCUGGUCUGGGAUUACUAACCAGGUGUAUUUAUGGGAGAAAACUAGCGAUCUAGGCAAGAAGCGAUGGAGGCCUGAAUUGAAGUGGUGGCAAAAAGAGGUGAGUGAGGCUGGACCCAGUGGCUAACGCCUGUAAUCCCAGCACUUUGGGAGGCCAAGGCAGGAGGAUUGAGCCCAGGAGUUUGAGACCAGCCUGUGCAACAUGAUAAGACUCUGCCUCUACAAAAGAAUUUUAAAAAAUUAGCUGGGUGUGGUGGUGUGCACCUGUAGUCCCAGCUACUUGGGAGGCUGAGGUGGGAGGUUUGCUUGAGCCCAGCAGUUUGAGGCUUCAGUGAGCUGAGUUUGUGCCACUGCAUUCCAGCCUGGGAAACAGAGUGCAACCCUGUCUCAAAGCAAAAAGAGAGAGAAAGGAAAAAAAAGAUGAGUGUAUAAGAUACUGAGGAAGUUAAGAAUCUGGGAUUUGACAGCUGAUUAGGUGUCAGAGGAGUCAAAAAUACAUAGGAAUCUUCAUCAUGGGUGAAUGAGAGUUUGACCCAACCUCUGAACAGAACAAGUCAGAGCAGAAAUAGGAGUUUGGGGAGAGAAGAUGCUAAGUUACAUUUUGCAGUUGUAAAAAAAAAAUCUACCAGUACUGGUCUAGACCAGUAGAACUCAGCUGGUCUAGUCUGAAAAAAUAUUUUGGAGGCCAGAAUCAUAGAAUCAUUGAAUAUUUAGAGCUGGACUAUGACUUUAGAUAGAGAUCAGCCAGCAUUCUGACUUCUUCAUUUCUCAAGUGAGAAAGCUGUGGUUGAAACAGAUUCAGUAACUUACGCAAGUUUAUAUUCUCUGUCAAGUGACCCAGCUGGGAUUUAAACAGGCCUUUUGACUCUAAUUCUAGUAUUCCUCCCAUGUGCAGUAUUUUAUUUUAUAUUGCACAAUAGAUAAAAUAUAAUUUUGGUUUCUCCUUUUUUAUUCUAAAAGAGUAAAAGCAGUUAUCUCAAUAUGUUAUGUUCAUUCUAGUGAUGACUUUACUAUCAUGUACUAAAUGUGUUUUGUUUAAAGUAGAAGUUAACUUCACGUUAUACUGAUUUGUCCCCCCAUAAACCAACUGUAUGUCAUCAUAUAACAAAAGUUGUUAAAAGUGCUAUAUACCAUAUAAUGUUGCAUCUAAACUGGGACACUUAUCUGAGAUGCUUUUGCGUGGGACAAAUGCUAUAUUAGAAAUGACUAGGACUGGCCAGGUGCAGUGGCUCACACGGGUAAUCCCAGCACUUUGGGAGACUGAGGCACGUGGAUCAUUUGAGGUCAGGAAUUCAAGACCAGCUUGGCCAACAUGGUGAGACCCCGUCUCUACUAAAAGUACAAAAAUUAGCUGGGUGUGAUGGCAUGUGCCUGUAAUCCCAGCUACUUGGGAGGCUGAGGCAGGAGAAUCUGAACCUGGGAGGUGGAGGUUGCAGUGAGCCGAGAUUGUGCCACUGCGCUCCAGCCUGGGCAACAGAGUGAAACUCUGUUUCGAAAGAAAGAAAAGAAAUGACUAGGACAGCAGGAGUAAAACCCCAAGGCAUUAGGUCUCCGUAGCUAAGGUGGAUCCCACUCAUGCAAUUCAUCAACCUUUGUCUGAAAAAAAAGAAAGAAAAUCUGAUUUUGUUAAGCUUUUCUUUUGCUUUGCUGUGAUACGGUUUGCAGGCCAACACAUGCAUAUUGCUAUAGGUUGGUGCGAAAGUUAAUUGUGGUUUUUGCUCAUUUUUAAUGUACCAACCCAAUAUGCUUUUUUUCCAGCUUAAUUUGGCAAUUAGGUGGUAAAUCACUUGAUAGGAUAAAUUAAUCACAAUCUGUAAACUUAAUUUAAAAAUGUGUAACAACCCUCUGUGGAAAAUUUGAAUAUAAACAUCAAAAGAAUACCAUUCUGUAAGCUCUUUUGAUUUUUGGCAUCUGAAAUGUCUGAAAGUAUAAAUUGCAAAACAUAUUUACAAUUUUAAUGACAACUGCAAAAGUAUUGCCCAUGAUUGGAAAGACUAAAAUGGUAUGCGUUAUAUGUAUUCUGUUCAGGCUGAUGCAUGAUAAAUCUCUCACUGAAAAAACAGAAAUCCCUAUCUCAUUUUAAAAUUUUAAAAAAUUGGCAUGAGCCACCGCAUGCAGCCUCUUUUCACUUUCUUGAUGAAGUCCCU
rnacentral:lncRNA from 10 species